rnacentral:sRNA from 1 species
UGAUGUCCUUACAAGAAGGGGAGAGGACACAGCUACAGAGGGGCAGCCACGUGAAGACAGAGCCAGAGAUGGGGAUGAUGCAGCCACCAGGAACACCAGGGGUGCCGGCAGCCCCUGAAGCUGGAGGAGGCCUGGAACGGAUUCUCCUUCAGUCUCCGGAAGGAACCAACCCAGCCAACGCAUCAGUUUUGGACCUCUGGCCUCCAGAACUGCAGGAAGAAAUCUGCUAAUUUGAGCCACCAGGCUCAUGGGACUUUGUUUUGGCAGCCGCAGGACACUCAUGCACUGUCCUUGGAGUGAACGUUUUCAUUUUAAACAUGUGGCUCCAUCUGCCAGAAUCUCCCCAACAGACUCCAAACCCAACCCAGGGUCUAGGCAGGGUAGCGGCUUUGACAGGAGCCUGUCGGUGCUGGUGGCACCUCCAUGCCCCAGACAACUUGCCUUCCCCCGCCCCGUCCUCUCCAGUUCUGCGUAUAACACAUCCCUGACAAGCCACACACGAUGGGGCAAAACAUUUUGGAGAUCUAUAAAAUAAUCAUUUUAAAAUCAUAUCACUUUGGAAAGCAAAGGGUAGAAAAUCUUUAAAUGAACAGUGCAUUGCCCAAUAUGUUAAAGUGCUUGGGGGUAGUUUUGUGUGUGUGUGUGUGUGUGUGUGUUGUGUGAAGCCAGGUACGUGGCUGAGUAAGACAAAGCCCCUGCCUUCCUGGGUGAGACAGGCGGAGAACACAGGAGGCCUCGCCUCUGAGUGUGUAUGGGGUGCAGGGAGGCUUCCGUGGAGGCAGGGGGCCCAGCAACCCUUCCGGGGUUGCCGCUGGAAGAUCUCAGAGGAUGCCUAAGAGUUUUCUAGGUGAAGAAGAGGAAGGACACCAUGCAGAGGGGACAGUAGAGAAGGGGGUUGGUAGGGAGCAGCAUUGGGAAAGAGGGGAGGUUAGCAGGAGGCAAGGAAGGCCUUGGAGGAGCCUGUGCAGUCGUGACUGCCUCUGUGCAAGAUGGGUCUGGCAGGUGAGGGACCAGUGGGCCAGGGGUUCCCAGGGCUCUAGGGGUUCCCAGAGCCCAGCUGCAUCACUGGAAGCCGGCAGGGAUGCGUCGGGCUCCCGGUAAGUGGAGAUCCCUUCCACGGCAUAUGUAGCCCAGAGCUUUUGUGUUAGGUCCUGGAGAGAUUUAUCUUCCCAUCCAAAGCCUCUCCAAAGGCCCCAUAGCAAUCACUCCCAACACUUUGCUCGUUGUGGAAGGCUCCAUCUCCCAGAAGAACUGUUUGCUCAACCUCCUGGCCAUGCGGGCGUGGGAGACGAGUGGCCAGCUGUCCUUCUAAGCCCAUUGCUGUGCCUGCAGCUUGCUGUGGUUCCACCUGAGCCGCACGUGGCAACCUCGUCCUCUGAGUAAGCCCUCUGGGCCUCCCUGUUUCAGGUGCGUUCUUCACAAAGGUGGUGGAUGUGGGCGCCGCCUCUCUGAAGCUUGAGAUCUGGGACACAGCUGGCCAGGAGAAGUACCACAGCAUCUGCCACCUCUACUUCAGGGGCGCCAAUGCUGCGCUUCUGGUGUACGACAUCACCAGGAAGGUAGGGCCCACCUUGAGGCACGUCCCACCCUCCUUCUCAAGCACCUGCCUUCUGGUUUCUCCAGUGCAAUGAUGCCAUGGCAUAAUCACAAGGAACAGAGACCCCAUUAGUGAGCACCAGUCACCUCCUCCAGGAUGGCCUCCUGACAACCCCCCAUCCUCCUCCACGGUGGGGUUCUGCUCCUCUGUGGUCCACAAAGAACAUGCCAUUGCCAUCUGCCACUCAGUAGUUCCUGGUGCUGCAUUAGGGUCAGGGUUUGGGGUAGUGGCCAGUCCCCCAGACUCUCUUGCAUGAAGUGGUCCUUUGAGGACAUCUAGGGGUGGAAGAUUCAGGAGCUCAAGGCCUGACCUGAAAUACCCCGUGGCUGGCAGUCUCCUGGGCCUGGUUAGGGUGAAGAAUCUGAUGUGUGUCCCAGCAGUUUUCUGCCUGGCCGCACAGGUCACCCAGGACAGGAACGUGCCCUCCUCAGAGGAAUGGAGCAGCCCUGCAGGUGUGUCCAUGGACAGUAGGAUUCUGUGACAUUUUAUGCAACGUGACCAGCAACACUGGCUUCCCCCUGCAGAAUAGCUAAUGACCGCCUAUAAGUUCUGUUUGACGUGACUUUUUUUCUUAUUUUCUAGGAUUCCUUCCUCAAGGCUCAGCAGUGGCUGAAGGACCUGGAGGAGGAGCUGCACCCAGGAGAAGUCCUGGUGAUGCUGGUGGGCAACAAGACGGACCUCAGCCAGGAGCGGGAGGUGACCUUCCAGGAAGGGAAGGAGUUUGCCGACAGCCAGAAGUUGCUGUUCAUGGAAACUUCGGCCAAACUGAACCACCAGGUGUCAGAGGUGUUCAAUACCAUGGCCCAAGAGCUACUGCAGAGAGACGACAGGGAGGGCCAGGCUCCUCGGGGGGACGCAGCUGUGGCUCUGAACGAGGGGCCCGCGAGGCAGGCCAAAUGCUGUGCCCACUAGGUGCAGCCACUCCUGGGGGCUGUGGGGAAGACGCCCCCUGCCUGGGCCGUGGCCAGCUCUAGGUGGAUUCUGAUUCACUGUCAAUGCUGGGUUGCUUCCAAGCCCUAGAUGUUCCUGGAAGUUGGCCCCCUUUAUAAAAACCACUUCCCACAGCCAGUGGGAACCUCCAGAGGAAGAUCUGGCGUUGCAUGGCUCCCAGGAAAGUGCUGUGCCCCAUCCCCACUGAUACCAUCUGAUUCCCCGAUGCCUGUGCCUGUCCCACCUGGACGGUGGCCCCCUCAGCCUGGCAGCCUCUGGAGAGGAAGGAAGGAUUGGAAAAGUCCCCCGGAGCACAGCGAUGGUGGGAAGAUGCCUUACACUUGAUCUGGGUGGGGGCACUGGCCCAGAGCCUGGGCCCAUCUGCUUCUGGGGGGUUGGGGAGCAGGCCCAGAUGAAGGUGGUGGUGCCAGGAAGAAACGGAGCGAUGACUGACUGUGGGGUGGGCCCAGGAUUUCCGCAUCUUGGUGAAGUUGCCCCUGGGAAGGGCAGCUGGGGGCAGUGGCGCCAGUUCCCUUUCAUGGUCUCCCAGCUGGCAAUGUGGUGAAGCUGAGUUUCUGUCCAGUGAGCAGGAAGAUUCUGAGACAUUUCGCCUGAGAUGUAAGUUGUACUGCGUAUGCAGUUUUUUUCUCCAAAAAUUAAAUUGCUUUUGACAA